rnacentral:misc_RNA from 1 species
GAUGAAGAACGUAGCGAAAUGGGAUACUUGGUGUGAAUUGCAGAAUCCCGUGAACCAUCGAGUCUUUGAACGCAAGUUGCGCCCGAAGCCACUAGGCCGAGGGCACGCCUGCCUGGGCGUCACACGCCGUUGCCCCCCCAUCUACUCCUUCGGGAUUGCGGGGGGGCGGAUGAUGGCCUCCCGUGCGCCUAGCCGCGCGGUUGGCAUAAAUACCAAGUCCUCGGCGACGCACGCCACGACAAUCGGUGGUUGCGAAACCUCGGUUGCCCGUCGUGUGCGUUCGUCGCGCAUCGAGGGCUCGAAAAAAUGCUCGGCUCCGGCUGGGCUUUCAACGCGACCCCAGGUCAGGAGGGGUUACCCGCUGAAUUUAAGCAUAUCAAUAAGCGGAGGA